rnacentral:rRNA from 1 species
AUUGAACGCUGGCGGCAUGCCUUACACAUGCAAGUCGAACGGCAGCACGGGUGCUUGCACCUGGUGGCGAGUGGCGAACGGGUGAGUAAUACAUCGGAACGUACCUUAUCGUGGGGGAUAACGCAGCGAAAGCUGUGCUAAUACCGCAUACGCCCUGAGGGGGAAAGCGGGGGAUCGCAAGACCUCGCGCGAUUAGAGCGGCCGAUGCCUGAUUAGCUUGUUGGUGGGGUAAAAGCCCACCAAGGCGACGAUCAGUAGCUGGUCUGAGAGGACGAUCAGCCACACGGGGACUGAGACACGGCCCAGACUCCUACGGGAGGCAGCAGUGGGGAAUUUUGGACAAUGGGGGCAACCCUGAUCCAGCAAUGCCGCGUGAGUGAAGAAGGCCUUCGGGUUGUAAAGCUCUUUUGUCAGGGAAGAAACACCGGCUCUAACACAGUCUAGGAAUGACGGUACCUGAAGGAUAAGCACCGGCUAACUACGUGCCAGCCGCCGCCGUAA